UGGGGGAUAUUGCACAAUGGGCGAAAGCCUGAUGCAGCGACGCCGCGUGAGGGAAGACGGUCUUCGGAUUGUAAACCUCUGUCUUCGGGGACGAUAAUGACGGUACCCGAGGAGGAAGCUACGGCUAACUACGUGCCAGCAGCCGCGGUAAUACGUAGGUAGCGAGCGUUGUCCGGAAUUACUGGGUGUAAAGGGAGCGUAGGCGGGAAUUUAAGUCAAGUGUUAAAGAUAUGGGCUCAACUCAUAUAUGCGCUUGAAACUGGAUUUCUUGAGUGAAGUAGAGGUAGGCGGAAUUCCGAGUGUAGCGGUGGAAUGCGUAGAUAUUCGGAGGAACACCAGUGGCGAAGGCGGCCUACUGGGCUUUUACUGACGCUGAAGCUCGAAAGCGUGGGGAGCAAACA
rnacentral:rRNA from 1 species